UAAAGUAAGUGUUUUAAUCUAAUUUAGAAAAGUGACAGAGUUGAAAGUGAUAUUGGGAAAUAACAAUAAUAAGCAUUUAAAAAACAUGGAGCCCACAAGACUGGCAUGAUUACUUUACACUGAAGCAUGUGAACAAACAGUAGCCAAAGACAGAGCAUCUAAACUUAAGCAGAGCCUUGCAAAAAUACAGCCGCCACUGACUUCCCUCAGAAGGUGGGAGACACAGCACUGGGAGGUGUGAAUUCAGUUGCCAUCGGUCUCCCUCUUUUGGAGCUUCCAGCCAGGAAGGAUACCACACAGGAUCAUCACCAUGAAAAGCCUUAAUGGAACCUUCUGUGCUUUCCUACUGAAACCCUAAAACUAGCCCCUUCUGUUAGCUUGGUACAUAAGACUGUACUCCUGGCAGGUCAGGGAACGACUCCCUGUAGAGUGCUUUUGCAUGUGAAAUAAACUUUUCUCUUGUUAA